CCUACGGGGGGCAGCAGUGGGGAAUAUUGCACAAUGGGCGAAAGCCUGACGCAGCGACGCCGCGUGAGGGAUGAAGGUCUUCGGAUCGUAAACCUCUGUCAGCAGGGAAGAACGGUCGCUGUGCUAAUCAGCAGUGAAUUGACGGUACCUGCUAAGGAAGCACCGGCUAACUCCGUGCCAGCAGCCGCGGUAAUACGGAGGGUGCGAGCGUUAAGCGGAAUUAUUGGGCGUAAAGCGCUCGUAGGCGGUAUGUCAAGUCUAGGGUGAAAUCCCCGGGCUCAACGUGGGAACUGCCUUGGAAACUGGCAAACUGGAGUGUGUGAGAGGAGAGUGGAAUUCCAGGUGUAGGAGUGAAAUCCGUAGAUAUAUGGAAGAACAUCAGUGGCGAAGGCGACUAUCUGGCACAUAACUGACGCUGAGGAGCGAAAGCGUGGGUAGCAAACAGGAUUAGAUACCCUAGUAGUC
rnacentral:rRNA from 1 species